AUUCACGUUAAAAAUUUCAGCGGUUACUAUCUACCCAUGUUCAAUGGAGGUUAAGAGAUUGGUCCAUAUUCUACCCUUUUAUUCUUCCAUUCAUUCACGUUCCCUAAAACCGCUGACGGUUACGAAAAUGCUUCAUCAUUCACAACCAUAACUUUCAAUCUUCCCCUUCAACCUUCUUCUACAGCGGUUUUACAAAUCUGUUUCUUUUUCAAGUGCAAAAACGAUCCCUCCUUUCUCUCUUCCUCCGUUCUUCCUCUUCUUUUCUCUCUCCAAUCUCCGACAACGAUUUUCGCUGAAAAGUGCAACAGGCGGCGGCAUCUUUUUGCAAUUUUAAUUAGUUUAUGUAAUUGAUGAUUUUGUGUGUUAUUUGUAGGUAAUUCUUCGGUUCUGAUCCGAUCUUCGACGCCAAAAGGAACAGAGAACCUCCCCUUUCCAUCAAAGAUGCCAACGAAAGGCGAUCAGCUAGCGUUGGUUGAAUAUUUUGGACCAUAAAAUACAGGAAGAAUAUCAACUAUAAAGCAGAGCAACAAUAAAAUACAGGAAGAAUCAAUCAGAUGCACAAUUCAAUUUUAUUUAGAUUCAAACACAAUAAAGCAGAGCAACAAUAAUUCGAGUGAAUUUUAUAGGGAAGGGUUCAAAAUAACUCAAUCCGAAAUUGGAAUUUCAUCACAAUGAAGAUGAAAUUCUCAAUUAGCAGAGGUUUCCCUUGGUGAGGGUAUGCACUUAGCUUCUGCAGGUUCGAUGAUGAAGCACAAGUUUGCUUGUCCAUAAAAAAGAAAGGAUGGCAAUGAGAGAGAUUGAUCGGUUCUUUGUACUAUUUUGAUUUUGUUUAUGCUUUCAAUUUCAGGUGGCGGUUCGUUUCGAUAUAGGUUUCUCCGAUUACGCUAACGGUUACCUAUAGUAUUUUGAUCAGGAACUCAUAUUUUAAUGACACUCAUAUGCUAUACCAGUUCCAGCCUUCAAUAACCAAUGAAGCUAGCAGCUACUCUCAUGAUCCACGGUGCGCCAUUCUCGACUGUUGAUUCAAAAGGGUCUCAAAUGCCUGCUGAGCACGAAACAAAAACACCGUUUUUCGUUGUUCCAAAUGAAGCUAUAGCAAAACUGUCAUUAUAAAAUGGUUUUGGAAUACUUCCUAUAGAGAGUGAAAGUACAUCAACACCGUCGGAAACUUAAAAAUGUUAUGAAUAUUAUGUAAGAAAUUUUCUAUUGUUAUUAUUUUGAUUUGAUAUUGUGUAAUAUUUUUUGAACUAUACGGAGAAAUGAUGUUUCUAUGGUUCCA